rnacentral:snoRNA from 1 species
UCCCUCCACAUUCUUUACCCAGUAGGUCUAAGCAUUGAUCUGAGUAGCUAUGAAAGGAGGAAGAGUAAAACUGAAACAGAUUUGGAUUCUUUAACAAUAUACGAGUUUAUUUCAAACAACA